rnacentral:rRNA from 1 species
CCCAGACUCCUACGGGAGGCAGCAGUGAGGAAUAUUGGUCAAUGGCCGGAAGGCUGAACCAGCCAAGUCGCGUGAGGGAAUAAGGCCCUAUGGGUCGUAAACCUCUUUUGUCAGGGAGCAAAGGCGUCCACGUGUGGACGAGAGGAGAGUACCUGAAGAAAAAGCAUCGGCUAACUCCGUGCCAGCAGCCGCGGUAAUACGGAGGAUCCGAGCGUUAUCCGGAUUUAUUGGGUUUAAAGGGUGCGUAGGCGUGCUUUUAAGUCAGCGGUAAAAAUUCGGGGCUCAACCCCGUCCGGCCGUUGAAACUGGGGGCCUUGAGUGGGCGAGAAGAAGGCGGAAUGCGUGGUGUAGCGGUGAAAUGCAUAGAUAUCACGCAGAACUCCGAUUGCGAAGGCAGCAUACCGGCGCGCAACUGACGCUCAUGCACGAAAGCGUGGGUAUCGAACAGGAUUAGAUACCCGCGUAC